UAACCAAAUUUUAUCGGUUUUUACCAGAAAAUAACUCGGGCUCAUGGGAGUUAAAUUCGACUAUAGCUCGUCACUGUUCGUGAGCGUAUUGUUGACCAUCGGAAAAAAACAAAAAAUCCCCAAAGGUCUUGGAAUAACGAUUGUUUUACUUUUGCAGAUAACUAUCAACACUGCAGGUUCGACUGUUCUCAGCAAUAGAAUGAAUAGAAUUUACUUUAAACAAUGAUUUGUUUGUUUGUGCGUUGUAUAAGUUAUAAGUACGCGUAUACAAUAUAAAAAACAAUUCGUAAUCCGUUUUAUCAACUGCAACUAUAGAUAUAAACACACCAGCGAGAACGCUGAUAUUGCAAUACAAACAAUUUUAAUUUUGAUGUUUUACGAACAUUAUCGACUACGCCGUAGU